AAUUCUAAUCUCCUCUUGUUCAGUCCGCCACUGCCCUCGGAAGCUUCGCCUGCGGUUUUGAUGUCGGCGUCCGAGCCGUUCUGGAUGCCGGCGCCUGCCCUAACCUCUUCUUGCUUUUAUCUCAUCCUGAUGACAAGAUUGUUGCAGGCAAAUGCCAAAGGGAUGGUCUCAGGGGGCCUUUUUAUUGGAUUAAGAACAGAAACACAGUCGAAGCUUUGGAUGACUCUUGUGAAGUGAAUAUAAAGAAAAAGUCUUCCUUUCUUUUGCAGAACAAAUAUUUUUCAUACGGGAUUAGAUAACCCAAAGCCAAGAGCACUAGCAAUAGCAGGGGAGAGGAAGCAGAUCAAGAGCAAUAUGACCAGCUUUGCUUUGUUCUUGUUAAUCUGCUUUCUGUGAGUAUUCUUUGAGUUUUUUUAUUUACACUGAAAUCAACUUGGAUUGUCUUUUAUCAAUAUAUAUGUACAUAGUUAUCAAGUCUUAA